GGAGAGUUGACCGAGUGGCCGAAGGUGUUGGUCUUGAAAACCAAUGUGUCAGCAAUGGCACCAAGGGUUCGAAUCCCUUACUCUCCGCCA
rnacentral:tRNA from 1 species